rnacentral:rRNA from 1 species
GACGAACGCUGGCGGUGUGCUUAACACAUGCAAGUCGAACGGAAAGGCCCUGCUUUUGUGGGGUGCUCGAGUGGCGAACGGGUGAGUAACACGUGAGUAACCUGCCCUUGACUUUGGGAUAACUUCAGGAAACUGGGGCUAAUACCGGAUAGGAGCUCCUGCUGCAUGGUGGGGGUUGGAAAGUUUCGGCGGUUGGGGAUGGACUCGCGGCUUAUCAGCUUGUUGGUGGGGUAGUGGCUUACCAAGGCUUUGACGGGUAGCCGGCCUGAGAGGGUGACCGGCCACAUUGGGACUGGGGUACGGCCCAGACUCCUACGGGGGGCAGCAGUGGGGAAUAUUGCACAAUGGGCGGAAGCCUGAUGCAGCAACGCCGCGUGCGGGAUGACGGCCUUCGGGUUGUAGACCGCUUUCGCCUGUGACGGAGCGUGAGUGACGGUAAUGGGUAAAGAAGCACCGGCUAACUACGUG